GAUGAACGCUGGCGGCGUGCUUAACACAUGCAAGUCGAACGAUGAUCUCCAGCUUGCUGGGGGGAUUAGUGGCGAACGGGUGAGUAACACGUGAGUAACCUGCCCUUGACUCUGGGAUAAGCCUGGGAAACUGGGUCUAAUACCGGAUAUGACUGCUCCACGCAUGUGGUGGUGGUGGAAAGCUUUUGCGGUUUUGGAUGGACUCGCGGCCUAUCAGCUUGUUGGUGGGGUAAUGGCCUACCAAGGCGACGACGGGUAGCCGGCCUGAGAGGGUGAC
rnacentral:rRNA from 1 species